rnacentral:rRNA from 1 species
CUUCGGGAUUAGUGGCAGACGGGUGAGUAACGCGUGGGAAGCUACCUUGUGGUAGGGAACAACAGUUGGAAACGACUGCUAAUACCCUAUGAGCCCUAUGGGGGAAAGAUUUAUCGCCAUGAGAUGUGCCCGCGUUAGAUUAGCUAGUUGGUAAGGUAAUGGCUUACCAAGGCGACGAUCUAUAGCUGGUCUGAGAGGAUGAUCAGCCACACUGGGACUGAGACACGGCCCAGACUCCUACGGGAGGCAGCAGUGGGGAAUAUUGGACAAUGGGGGCAACCCUGAUCCAGCCAUGCCGCGUGUGUGAUGACGGCCUUAGGGUUGUAAAGCACUUUCAGCAGUGAAGAUAAUGACAUUAACUGCAGAAGAAGCCCCGGCUAACUUCGUGCCAGCAGCCGCGGUAAUACGAAGGGGGCUAGCGUUGUUCGGAAUCACUGGGCGUAAAGCGUACGUAGGCGGACUGAUCAGUCAGGGGUGAAAUCCCGGGGCUCAACCCCGGAACUGCCUUUGAUACUGUCAGUCUUGAGAUCGAGAGAGGUGAGUGGAACUCCGAGUGUAGAGGUGAAAUUCGUAGAUAUUCGGAAGAGCACCAGUGGCGAACGCGGCUCACUGGCUCGAUACUGACGCUGAGGUACGAAAGCGUGGGGAGCAACAGGAUUAGAUACCCUGGUAGUCCACGCCGUAACGAUGAAUGCUAGUUGUCAGGUAGCUUGCUAUU